GAUGAACGCUGGCGGCGUGCCUAAUACAUGCAAGUCGAGCGAACGGACGAGAAUCUUGCUUUUCUGAUGUUACCGGCGGACGGGUGAGUAACACGUGGAUAACCUCCCUAUAAGACUGAGAUAACUUCGGGAAACCGGAGCUAAUACCGGAUAAUAUCUUGAACCGCAUGGUUCAAAAGUGAAAGACGGUCUUGCUAUCACUUAUAGAUCUAUCCGCUCUGCAUUAGCUAGUUGGUAAGGUAAGGCCUUACCGAGGCAACGAGGCAUAGCCGGCCUGAGAGGGUGAUCGGCCAGAGUGGAACUGAGACACGGUCGAGACUCCUACAGGAGGCAGAAUCAGGGAGGCGGCCGCAAUGGGCAAAAUCGUGACGGGGCAACGCGGCGUGAGUGACGAAGGUCUGCGGAUCGUAAAACUCUGUGAGUAGGGAAGACCAUAUGUGUAAGUAACUGUGCACAUCUUGACGGUACCGAAACAGAAAGCCACGGCUAACUACGUG
rnacentral:rRNA from 1 species